AGAACGAACGCUGGCGGCAGGCUUAACACAUGCAAGUCGAACGCCCCGCAAGGGGAGUGGCAGACGGGUGAGUAACACGUGGGAACGUCCCCCUCGGUUCGGAAUAACUCAGGGAAACUUGAGCUAAUACCGGAUACGUCCGAGAGGAGAAAGAUUUAUCGCCGAGGGAUCGGCCCGCGUCUGAUUAGCUAGUUGGUAGGGUAACGGCCUACCAAGGCGACGAUCAGUAGCUGGUCUGAGAGGAUGACCAGCCACACUGGGACUGAGACACGGCCCAGACUCCUACGGGAGGCAGCAGUGGGGAAUCUUGGACAAUGGGCGCAAGCCUGAUCCAGCCAUGCCGCGUGAGUGAUGAAGGCCUUAGGGUUGUAAAGCUCUUUCGACGGGACGAUAAUGACGGUACCCGUAGAAGAAGCCCCGGCUAACUUCGUGCCAGCAGCCGC
rnacentral:rRNA from 1 species